rnacentral:rRNA from 1 species
UACGGGGGGAGCAAGCGUUGUUCGGAUUUACUGGGCGUAAAGGGCGCGUAGGCGGCCACUGCAAGUCGGUUGUGAAAUCUCCGGGCUUAACCCGGAAAGGUCAAUCGAUACUGCAGGGCUAGAGUGCAGAAGGGGCAACUGGAAUUCUCGGUGUAGCGGUGGAAUGCGUAGAGAUCCGGAAGAACACCGGUGGCGAAGGCGGCCUGCUGGGCAGUUGCUGACACUGAGGCGCGACAGCGUGGGGAGCAAACAGG